UACGGAGGGUGCAAGCGUUAUCCGGAAUUAUUGGGCGUAAAGCGCGCGUAGGCGGUUCGUUAAGUCUGAUGUGAAAGCCCCCGGCUCAACCGGGGAGGGUCAUUGGAAACUGGCGAACUUGAGUGCAGAAGAGGAGAGUGGAAUUCCAUGUGUAGCGGUGAAAUGCGCAGAGAUAUGGAGGAACACCAGUGGCGAAGGCGGCUCUCUGGUCUGUAACUGACGCUGAGGUGCGAAAGCGUGGGGAUCAAACAGG
rnacentral:misc_RNA from 1 species